rnacentral:rRNA from 1 species
UACAGAGGGGGCAAGCGUUUAUUCGGAAUUAUUGGGCGUAAAGGGCGCGUAGGCGGCCUGGCAAGUGGAAGGUGAAAUCCCUCGGCUUAACCGAGGAACUGCCCUCCAAACUGCUUGGCUUGAGUCCGGGAGAGGUGAGUGGAAUUCCCAGUGUAGCGGUGAAAUGCGCAGAUAUCAGGAGGAACACCGGUGGCGAAGGCGGGACUCUGGGCCGAUACUGACGCUGAGGAGCGAAAGCGUGGGGAGCGAACAGG